rfam:Agrilus planipennis Contig6318, whole genome shotgun sequence.
GUAGUUUAGUGGUCAGAGUAUUGGCGCGUAAAGCCAAAGGUCCCGGGUUCGAUUCCCGGC